rnacentral:ncRNA from 1 species
GUGUUGUAUGAAAGGAAAAAAGGUUAGCACUCCCCUUGACAAGGAUGGAAGAGGCCCUUGGGACUAACAACACACAUAUUUAAGGCAUUGCCACCUACUUUGUGGCAUCUAAGCACUGUUUUUC